rnacentral:rRNA from 1 species
UACGUAGGGGGCAGGCGUUGUCCGGAUUUAUUGGGCGUAAAGAGCGUGUAGGCGGCCACACAGGUCAGCUGUGAAAACUCGAGGCUCAACCUCGAGACGUCGGUUGAAACCGUAUGGCUAGAGUCCGGAAGAGGAGAGUGGAAUUCCCGGUGUAGCGGUGAAAUGCGCAGAUAUCGGGAAGAACACCCGUGGCGAAGGCGGCUCUCUGGGACGGUACUGACGCUGAGACGCGAAAGCGUGGGGAGCGAACAGG